AUCUUUAUCUGGCACUUAAGCAUAAACAUUAGCUGUCUGCACCAUGGUGUGAGAUGUUCCUCCCUCACGUCUUUAUACAACAUUCACACAUUACCAGUCUGAUA